rnacentral:rRNA from 1 species
GGUUAAGCGACUAAGCGUACACGGUGGAUGCCCUGGCAGUCAGAGGCGAUGAAGGACGUGCUAAUCUGCGAUAAGCGUCGGUAAGGUGAUAUGAACCGUUAUAACCGGCGAUUUCCGAAUGGGGAAACCCAGUGUGAUUCGUCACACUAUCAUUAACUGAAUCCAUAGGUUAAUGAGGCGAACCGGGGGAACUGAAACAUCUAAGUACCCCGAGGAAAAGAAAUCAACCGAGAUUCCCCCAGUAGCGGCGAGCGAACGGGGAGCAGCCCAGAGCCUGAAUCAGUGUGUGUGUUAGUGGAAGCGUCUGGAAAGGCGCGCGAUACAGGGUGACAGCCCCGUACACAAAAAUGCACAUACUGUGAGCUCGAUGAGUAGGGCGGGACACGUGGUAUCCUGUCUGAAUAUGGGGGGACCAUCCUCCAAGGCUAAAUACUCCUGACUGACCGAUAGUGAACCAGUACCGUGAGGGAAAGGCGAAAAGAACCCCGGCGAGGGGAGUGAAAAAGAACCUGAAACCGUGUACGUACAAGCAGUGGGAGCACAGAGCAAUCUGUGUGACUGCGUACCUUUUGUAUAAUGGGUCAGCGACUUAUAUUCUGUAGCAAGGUUAACCGAAUAGGGGAGCCGAAGGGAAACCGAGUCUUAACUGGGCGUUAAGUUGCAGGGUAUAGACCCGAAACCCGGUGAUCUAGCCAUGGGCAGGUUGAAGGUUGGGUAACACUAACUGGAGGACCGAACCGACUAAUGUUGAAAAAUUAGCGGAUGACUUGUGGCUGGGGGUGAAAGGCCAAUCAAACCGGGAGAUAGCUGGUUCUCCCCGAAAGCUAUUUAGGUAGCGCCUCGUGAAUUCAUCUCCGGGGGUAGAGCACUGUUUCGGCAAGGGGGUCAUCCCGACUUACCAACCCGAUGCAAACUGCGAAUACCGGAGAAUGUUAUCACGGGAGACACACGGCGGGUGCUAACGUCCGUCGUGAAGAGGGAAACAACCCAGACCGCCAGCUAAGGUCCCAAAGUCAUGGUUAAGUGGGAAACGAUGUGGGAAGGCCCAGACAGCCAGGAUGUUGGCUUAGAAGCAGCCAUCAUUUAAAGAAAGCGUAAUAGCUCACUGGUCGAGUCGGCCUGCGCGGAAGAUGUAACGGGGCUAAACCAUGCACCGAAGCUGCGGCAGCGACGCUUAUGCGUUGUUGGGUAGGGGAGCGUUCUGUAAGCCUGCGAAGGUGUGCUGUGAGGCAUGCUGGAGGUAUCAGAAGUGCGAAUGCUGACAUAAGUAACGAUAAAGCGGGUGAAAAGCCCGCUCGCCGGAAGACCAAGGGUUCCUGUCCAACGUUAAUCGGGGCAGGGUGAGUCGACCCCUAAGGCGAGGCCGAAAGGCGUAGUCGAUGGGAAACAGGUUAAUAUUCCUGUACUUGGUGUUACUGCGAAGGGGGGACGGAGAAGGCUAUGUUGGCCGGGCGACGGUUGUCCCGGUUUAAGCGUGUAGGCUGGUUUUCCAGGCAAAUCCGGAAAAUCAAGGCUGAGGCGUGAUGACGAGGCACUACGGUGCUGAAGCAACAAAUGCCCUGCUUCCAGGAAAAGCCUCUAAGCAUCAGGUAACAUCAAAUCGUACCCCAAACCGACACAGGUGGUCAGGUAGAGAAUACCAAGGCGCUUGAGAGAACUCGGGUGAAGGAACUAGGCAAAAUGGUGCCGUAACUUCGGGAGAAGGCACGCUGAUAUGUAGGUGAAGUCCCUCGCGGAUGGAGCUGAAAUCAGUCGAAGAUACCAGCUGGCUGCAACUGUUUAUUAAAAACACAGCACUGUGCAAACACGAAAGUGGACGUAUACGGUGUGACGCCUGCCCGGUGCCGGAAGGUUAAUUGAUGGGGUCAGCGCAAGCGAAGCUCUUGAUCGAAGCCCCGGUAAACGGCGGCCGUAACUAUAACGGUCCUAAGGUAGCGAAAUUCCUUGUCGGGUAAGUUCCGACCUGCACGAAUGGCGUAAUGAUGGCCAGGCUGUCUCCACCCGAGACUCAGUGAAAUUGAACUCGCUGUGAAGAUGCAGUGUACCCGCGGCAAGACGGAAAGACCCCGUGAACCUUUACUAUAGCUUGACACUGAACAUUGAGCCUUGAUGUGUAGGAUAGGUGGGAGGCUUUGAAGUGUGGACGCCAGUCUGCAUGGAGCCGACCUUGAAAUACCACCCUUUAAUGUUUGAUGUUCUAACGUUGACCCGUGAUCCGGGUUGCGGACAGUGUCUGGUGGGUAGUUUGACUGGGGCGGUCUCCUCCUAAAGAGUAACGGAGGAGCACGAAGGUUGGCUAAUCCUGGUCGGACAUCAGGAGGUUAGUGCAAUGGCAUAAGCCAGCUUGACUGCGAGCGUGACGGCGCGAGCAGGUGCGAAAGCAGGUCAUAGUGAUCCGGUGGUUCUGAAUGGAAGGGCCAUCGCUCAACGGAUAAAAGGUACUCCGGGGAUAACAGGCUGAUACCGCCCAAGAGUUCAUAUCGACGGCGGUGUUUGGCACCUCGAUGUCGGCUCAUCACAUCCUGGGGCUGAAGUAGGUCCCAAGGGUAUGGCUGUUCGCCAUUUAAAGUGGUACGCGAGCUGGGUUUAGAACGUCGUGAGACAGUUCGGUCCCUAUCUGCCGUGGGCGCUGGAGAACUGAGGGGGGCUGCUCCUAGUACGAGAGGACCGGAGUGGACGCAUCACUGGUGUUCGGGUUGUCAUGCCAAUGGCACUGCCCGGUAGCUAAAUGCGGAAGAGAUAAGUGCUGAAAGCAUCUAAGCACGAAACUUGCCCCGAGAUGAGUUCUCCCUGACUCCUUGAGAGUCCUGAAGGAACGUUGAAGACGACGACGUUGAUAGGCCGGGUGUGUAAGCGCAGCGAUGCGUUGAGCUAACCGGUACUAAUGAACCGUGAGGCUUAACCUU